rnacentral:rRNA from 1 species
AGCAGCCGCGGUAAUUCCAGCUCCAAUAGCGUAUAUUAAAGUUGUUGCAGUUAAAAAGCUCGUAGUUGAAUUUCGGGAUUGACGUGACGGUCAUGCCUUAAGGGGUAUGAACUGUUACAGUUGAUUUCUCACCUUCUGGAGAAACUUGAUGUCCUUUAUUGGGUGUCUUGCGGAUCCAGGACCUUUACCUUGAAAAAUUAGAGUGUUUAAAGCAGGCAUUUUUGCUCGAAUACAUUAGCAUGGAAUAAUAGAAUAGGACGGCAUGGUUCUAUUUUGUUGGUUUCUAGGAUCACCGUAAUGAUUAAUAGGGAUAGUUGGGGGCAUUAGUACUCAAUUGUCAGAGGUGAAAUUCUUGGAUUUAUUGAAGACUAACUACUGCGAAAGCAUUUGCCAAGGAUGUUUUCAUUAAUCAAGAACGAAAGUUAGGGGAUCGAAGACGAUCAGAUACCGUCGUAGUCUUAACCAUAAACUAUGCCGACUAGGAAUCAGACGAUGUUAAUUUUUUAAUGUACUCG